rnacentral:tRNA from 1 species
GCGUCCUUAGUGUAGCGGUAACACGAUAGCUUCCCAAGCUGUAAUUGAGGGUUCGACUCCCUUAGGACGCUC